GAAAGCGAGGGACACCUCACAAAGUGACGCCCCCAACAGGUCCGGAUUUGGAAUUGGAAGCGGCAGAAAUCCGGACCUCCCCGGGCCUGCUCCGCACACCCCGCCGCCCCCGCCCGGAGCCCAGACCCUCGGCUUGCCGGCCCCCCAGGGCGCCCCGUCGGCUGCGGGCUUCCUCCUGCAGACCUGCCCGCGCACAUGAAGCGGCUGCCCCCGCCGCAGGCGCCGGCGCCCCCCUCGCGGUGCCCGUGGUGAUGCCAUGCCCCGCCACCACGCGGGAGGAGAGGAGGGCGGUGCCGCCGGGCUCUGGGUGAGGAGCGGCGGCAUGAAGGAUGUGGAGUCCGGCCGCGGCAGGGUGCUGCUGAACUCGGCGGCCGC
rnacentral:lncRNA from 1 species